rnacentral:lncRNA from 1 species
CGCGGCGCUGGCGCUUUUUUUAACGCCGGAGGAAGCGGGGGAGGGGCUGGGGGGGGGGGGGGCGGCGCCCCCAGCGGGGUCUGGCCCCCCCCCCCAAAAAAAAUCCCCGUCCCCCCCGUGACACCCACGGGGACACCAAAAGGGGACGUGGGGUGGCCUCGGGCACCUGGUUCCCCCCCCGAGGGGACAGGGACAGGGGACAGGGGGCAGGGGGCAGGGGACAGGUGGCCCCCAGGUGUCCCCCCCCGGUUAUGGGGACAGCAGUGGCACCGGGCAUGGGCAGGUGGCACCAGCAGGGGUUGGGGACAUGGGGACACAGAUGGCACCACCAUGGGGGUUGGGGACAUGGGUGCCACCCCCAUGGGGACAUGGGUGCCACCACCAGGAAUGGGGACAUGGGUGCCACCACCAUGGGGGUUGUGGACAUGGGGACAUGGGUGCCACCACCAUGAACUGGGGACACGGGUGCCACCACCAUGGGGACACGGGGACAGGUGCCACCACCAGGAAUGGGGACAUGG